GAAUAGGUGGCUGAUAAAAAGUAAUAGAUUGUAAAUCUAUGAAUGAGAGCAAAUCUCUCUAUUCA
rnacentral:tRNA from 1 species